CCUACGGGAGGCAGCAGUGGGGAAUAUUGCACAAUGGGGGAAACCCUGAUGCAGCGACGCCGCGUGAGUGAAGAAGUAUUUCGGUACGUAAAGCUCUAUCAGCAGGGAAGAAAAAAAGUCCUUUGGACUUUGGACGGUACCUGACCAAGCAGCCCCGGCUAAAUACGUUCCAGCAGCCGCGGUAAUACGUAGGGGGCAAGCGUUAUCCGGAUUUACUGGGUGUAAAGGGAGCGUAGACGGCAGCGCAAGUCUGGAGUGAAAUGCCGGGGCCCAACCCCGGAACUGCUUUUGAAACUGUGCAGCUGGAGUGCAGGAGAGGUAAGCGGAAUUCCUAGUGUAGCGGUGAAAUGCGUAGAUAUUAGGAGGAACACCAGUGGCGAAGGCGGCUUACUGGACUGUAACUGACGUUGAGGCUCGAAAGCGUGGGGAGCAAACAGGAUUAGAUACCCGUGUAGUC
rnacentral:rRNA from 1 species